UACGUAGGGUGCAAGCGUUGUCCGGAAUUAUUGGGCGUAAAGAGCUCGUAGGUGGCCUGUCGCGUCGGCUGUGAAAACUCGGGGCUCAACUCCGAGCUUGCAGUCGAUACGGGCAGGCUAGAGUUCGGCAGGGGAGACUGGAAUUCCUGGUGUAGCGGUGAAAUGCGCAGAUAUCAGGAAGAACACCGGUGGCGAAGGCGGCUCUCUGGGCCUUACCUGACGCUGAGGAGCGAAAGCGUGGGUAGCGAACAGG
rnacentral:rRNA from 1 species